rnacentral:rRNA from 1 species
GGUCAAGCUACUAAGGGCAUGUGGAGGAUGUCUAGGCGCUAGAAGGCGAUGAAGGGCGUGGUAGGCUGCGAUAAGCUUGGGGAAGCCGUCAAGCAGGCGUUGAUCCCGAGAUUCCCGAAUAAUCGUGCACCCAAUCCAUAAGUGUACGAAGCCAACGCGGUCAACUGAAACAUCUAAGUAGCCGCAGGAAAGGAAAGAAAACUCGACUUCCCCAGUAGCGGCGAGCGAAAAGGAAGAUAGCCUAAACCGUCGGGCUUGCUCGGCGGGGUCGUGGGGCAUCUCAUUGUGGAGUUACAAAACGAUUUUCCAGCAGAAUCUGAUGGAAAGCGGAACCGUAGCGGGUGACAGUCCCGUAUGCGACGUUAAAUCGUCUCCCGAGGUGUACCCGAGUAGAACCAGUCACGUGGAACCUGGUUCGAAUCAGGGAGGCCCAUCUCCCAAGGCUAAGUACUCUCUAGCGACCGAUAGUGAACUAGUAGCGCGAGCGAAAGAUGGGAAGAACCCCUGUUAGGGGAGGAUACUGAACCUGAAACCACAUGCCUACAAGCGGUCGGAGCCCUAUGUGUUUACACAGGGUGACGGCGUGCCUUUUGCAUAAUGAUCCGACGACUUACCUUCAUUGGCUUGGUUAAGGCCUUCCGGGCCGUAGCCACAGGGAAACCGAGUCUGAAUAGGGCGAAAUUGUCAAUGGAGGUAGACGCGAAACCCGGUGAUCUACUCAUGGGCAGGUUGAAGCGCGGGUAAGACUGCGUGGAGGACCGAACUCACUAGUAUUGAAAAACUAGGGGAUGACCUGUGAGGAGGAGUAAAAGUCUAAUCAAACCGGGAGAUAUCUCGUUCUCUUCGAAAUAGCUCUAGGGCUAGCCUUGAGUCACUACGCUGUGGGGGUAGAGAUACUGAAUUCGCUUGGAGGCCUACCCGGCUAUCCUGCGGAGCCAAACUCCGAAUACCACAGCGACUAACUCGGGAGACAGUCCCUGAGGGAUAAGCUUCAGGGUCGAGAGGGAAACAACCCAGAUCGCCUGCUAAGGCCCCAAAGUUUUGCCUAGUCAAAAAGGAUGUUAAGGCACAGUGACAGCCAGGAUGUUGGCUUAGAAGCAGCCACCAUUUAAAAAGUGCGUAAUAGCUUACUGGUCGAGUGCUUUAACACCAAUAAUGAUCGGGAGUCAGCAAAACGCCGAAGCAGCGGGUGCAACUGGAUCGAAAGUGAUGGUUGCGCGGUAGAAGAGCGUUCCAGAGCAGAUACGAGCCGUACCGUAAGGAGCGGUGGAGGGCUCUGGAAGUGAUUAUGUCGGAAUGAGUAACGAUCAGACAGGUGAGAAUCCUGUCCGCCGAAUGCCUAAGGUUUCCUGGGGAAGGUAAAUCCGCCCAGGGUUAGCCGGUCCCUUAGUCAAGGCCGAAAGGCGUAGACGAUGGAGAGCAGGUUAAUAUUCCUGCGCCGCUGAUGAAUACCGAUGGGGGGACGUUGUCUCAACCGUGAGCGGGCGGCUAGAAGUGCCCGUGGACCGAUCCAAGGUAGUGGUUGGAAAAUCCGCCACGACAUCCGAGGGUCGGGCCUGAGUGCAAUUACGAUCACGAAAUCACAAGCAGGACAAUCCAGAAAAGCCUCUAAGGGUCACGUCAUCAGCGACCGUACUAAAACUGACACAGGUAGGCGAGGCGCGUAGCCUCAGGCGCUC